rnacentral:rRNA from 1 species
UACGUAGGGAGCAAGCGUUGUUCGGAUUUACUGGGCGUAAAGGGCGCGUAGGCGGCGCGGUAAGUCACUUGUGAAAUCUCUGAGCUUAACUCAGAACGGCCAAGUGAUACUGCAGUGCUAGAGUGCAGAAGGGGCAAUCGGAAUUCUUGGUGUAGCGGUGAAAUGCGUAGAUAUCAAGAGGAACACCUGAGGUGAAGACGGGUUGCUAGGCUGACACUGACGCUGAGGCGCGAAGCCAGGGAGCAAACGGG